rnacentral:rRNA from 1 species
UACGUAGGGUGCGAGCGUUGUCCGGAAUUACUGGGCGUAAAGGGCUUGUAGGCGGCCAACUAAGUCAGACGUGAAAUCCCUCGGCUUAACCGGGGAACUGCGUCUGAUACUGGAUGGCUUGAAUUCGGGAGAGGGAUGCGGAAUUCCAGGUGUAGCGGUGAAAUGCGUAGAUAUCUGGAGGAACACCGGUGGCGAAGGCGGCAUCCUGGACCGACAUUGACGCUGAGGAGCGAAAGCCAGGGGAGCAAACGGG